UACGUAGGGUGCAAGCGUUGUCCGGAAUUAUUGGGCGUAAAGAGCUUGUAGGCGGUUUGUCGCGUCUGCUGUGAAAUUUCGGGGCUCAACCCCGAACUUGCAGUGGGUACGGGCAGACUAGAGUGUGGUAGGGGAGACUGGAAUUCCUGGUGUAGCGGUGAAAUGCGCAGAUAUCAGGAGGAACACCGAUGGCGAAGGCAGCUCACUGGGACGGUACUGACGCUGAGACGCGAAAGCGUGGGGAGCAAACAGG
rnacentral:rRNA from 1 species